rnacentral:lncRNA from 1 species
CCCAAAGAAAAAAACAAAUGUUACCCAAUAGGCAAACAAUGCUGAGAGUUCACUUCCUCUAACUCUGUAGUUAAGUUACUCACUCAGUAUAACAUCACCCUCCUGCCAGGGGUUGAAGUCAGGAAGUAGUUUAUUUUCGCUGAAACUGAAGGGGGAAGUUAAAGAGAAAAAUAGCUGCAACUUGGUCAAUUCAGGAAAACCAGGUACGAAAAAAGAGGAGCAAGUUAAAGGGAAAGCCAGCUCGGAUUUGCUCACCAGUAAAAGGCAAAAAUCCCAGUGUUAUUCAUCUGCAUUUGGUGUGAAAGACAAAAGCUCAACUGGGAUCUGAGGCUUUCUGUGUCAGAGGGCAAGGAGUCAAUGGGGUUAUGAGGAAGUAAGACCACUUGAGACAUCAAAGAAAAGUAGAUCAAAUCACUAGACUCCUCCAAACAGGAGUGGGUGAAGACAAAAAGUGGAGAGAAUCCAGAGGGAAGAGAGGAGUAGGGAAAAUGGUGGAAAGGGAAGGUUUUUGAGAUGGAAGGCAGAGAAUGGGAACAAAAGAAGAAAAAGCUGUUUGUUUCAAAUCAAUAUUCUCCAAGAGGAUGUCUUGUUUCCCCAGGGAUAUUCUGAGGGACUCACAGGAUCAGAGCUGCGACACUUCUAACAUAUGAAUUCUCUCAAUUCUGAUGCCCUUUGACCUCUGCCACACAAUGCCAAGACAAACCCAGACCCCAGGCCCUGGAAACAGAGGAGGGGCAGGUACACAAAUAUCCAAGAUUGGAAAGAAGAAAGAAAAUGACGACAGAAUUUUGCAGUCUACAAGGCAAACACUGCCAUUCAUGUAGUUAUGGAGUUCCUACUAUGUGCAGACAAUGGGAAACUUUACGAAGGGACACAGAGGUUCAUGUGAUGUAAUAAGAAAGAAAUAAAGGAAGCUUUAUCUGCCGCUCUUUCAACCUCAUCCACUCAACACUUACCCCGUGACAGACCCCAAUACUCUUAAUGAAUUCCCAAGGUUACGAAAGAACUUGGAAGAUCUUACAUUCCUACAUGGUGAUUACAGAGGCUCACAUUUUGCCAAGUCAUAUGCAGGUGGCUGAAAAAUGUGAUCUAACGUCCUUGAACACAUUUAUUACAAUCCAUCAUCUACAUGGCAACAGUCAGGGCCAUGCUCAUAAACCAGAACUGGUGCUAGAUCUGGUAAGUCAUUAAGCAAACAUAUUCCUGUGUUGUGCGUGGCGUGCAUGCCCACUGCCUGCCUAUAAAACGGAAAUAAGAUUUCUGAUUUGCAAAUUACCUCCUAAGACAUGUAAAGCUAGCUCCUUUAAUCCACAUUACUCAUUUUUGUAUUUUGACUGUUUCAAAUGCUAAAACAGACCUGAAUACAGUUUCCACAGUUCUCUUUAUAAUUAUUGUAUUUUUCAUUUACAUGAUCAUGAAACCUGUUAGCAAGUGAGAAACAGAAUCAUUUUCACUGAGACAAAAAAUAUUGAGAAUUAGGGGGAGAAACUCUGAAGCAAUAUAAACAACAGAGUCUAAUCUUAUCAAAGAGAGAAGGCAGUUGGUGAAUCUGAAAGAUCACUUACUUACCACUCAAUCAUAGAACUUAUACCCCCAAAUAGGAUUUAAGAAAGAAAAAAGCAAUUUAGUAGGAACUGGAAGUUAUAGGGCAUAGGUCUGCUUUAGUUGGUGACAAAAAUUAUGCCUCAGAGGUUAAGAGCAUGGAUUAGGGUGCUGGGUUGCCUGGUUUAAAUCCUAGCUCUGGCACUUACUACUGCAUGGUCCUUGACCAGUUAUUUAACUACUCUGUGCCUCGGCUUCCCAGUGUGGAAAGCAGAAAAACAGUAUCUCCCUUACAGAGAGGCUUUAAAGUUUAAAUGCAUUAACAAAGGGAAAAUCCUUUCAAUGUUGACACAUCAUGAGUGUGACAUAAGUAUUACCUAUUAUUUUUAUUAUGUGACCAAAUGUGGAAGAAAAAUUCUAUAAGAAAGUAGUAACAUUGUUUAGUCUUUCAAAAAUCAUAUAUUCUCCUCCAAUCCUGGCUCUCUGCAAUUCAAGAAAUCCUAACAAAUAGAAAACCUUUGUACACAGGAGAAAACGGAGAUGAGCAAAGGCAAUAUUUGGCUUAUUUGUUAUAACCCUAAUAAAACAAGACUGCUUGAAGAAAUAGACCAAAUUGUGGAAUGUUUAACAUUGAUCCAGGACUGGCUCUUCUGAGGAAAAGAUAUAAUAUUUAUCAUGUGGCCAAUUUUGUCUGUGAAGAUAAGGAGGAACUAAUCGGUCUCAACUUCAUGAUGUUGCUUAAAGGAGCAUAUAAAUGUACGAUCAUAAGUAUCCUUUAAAUGAAGGGGUUGGUUUUAUGACUGCAGAAGUGAGAAAGAGUAAGGUCAUUUAGCCUGAGCAACACAGCAAAACCUUGUCUCUACUAAAAAUUAAACAAAACAACCAAAAAAUCACUCAGGUGUGGUGGCGCAUGCCUGUGGUCCCAACUACUCAGGAGGCUGAGGUGGGAGGAUUGCUUGAGCCUGAGAGGUGGAGGUUGCAGUGAGCCUUGAUUGCGCCACAGCACUCUAGCCUGGGUGACAGAGCAAGACUGUCAAAAAAGGAAAGAAAAGAAAGAAAAGAAAAAGAAAGAAACUAAAACAGAAAGAAAAGAAAGAAAGAAUGGGAGAGAGAGAGGAAGGAAGGAAGGAAGGAGAAAGAAGA